rnacentral:rRNA from 1 species
CCUUACCAAAUCUUGACAUCCUUUGACAACUCUAGAGAUAGAGCCUUCCCCUUCGGGGGACAAAGUGACAGGUGGUGCAUGGUUGUCGUCAGCUCGUGUCGUGAGAUGUUGGGUUAAGUCCCGCAACGAGCGCAACCCUUAAGCUUAGUUGCCAUCAUUAAGUUGGGCACUCUAAGUUGACUGCCGGUGACAAACCGGAGGAAGGUGGGGAUGACGUCAAAUCAUCAUGCCCCUUAUGAUUUGGGCUACACACGUGCUACAAUGGACAAUACAAAGGGCAGCGAAACCGCGAGGUCAAGCAAAUCCCAUA